GUAACACGUAUGCAACCUGCCUGCCACAGCCGGAUAAUCGGGAGAAAUUCCGUCUAAUACGGCAUAAUGCAUCGACGGGACAUCCUGUUGGUGCCAAAGGUUGAUUCCGGUGGCGGAUGGGCAUGCGUCGCAUUAGUUAGUUGGCGGUGUAACGGACCACCAAGACGACGAUGCGUAGGGGUUCUGAGAGGAAGGUCCCCCACACUGGUACUGAGACACGGACCAGACUCCUACGGGAGGCAGCAG
rnacentral:rRNA from 1 species